AAAAAAUCAGAACCAACUUUUCUUAGUACACAGGUUAAAGAACAGUCAUACUAACCCUUUUAGC
rnacentral:misc_RNA from 1 species